CAGCCGCCGCGGGAAUACGAAGGGGGCUAGCGUUGUUCGGAAUUACUGGGCGUAAAGCGCACGCAGGCGGCUCGAUAAAUUAGAAGUGAAAGCCUUGGGCUUAACCUGAGAAUUGCUUUUAAGACUGUCGAGCUAGAAUCCAGAAGAGGGUAGUGGAAUUCCGAGUGUAGAGGUGAAAUUCGUAGAUAUUCGGAAGAACACCAGUGGCGAAGGCGACUACCUGGUCUGGCAUUGACGCUCAUGUGCGAAAGCGUGGGGAGCAAACAGGAUUAGAUACCCCCGUAGUCCCUGUCUCUUAUAC
rnacentral:rRNA from 1 species